rnacentral:piRNA from 1 species
UGGUCAGAUCGCGGAGCCAUCAGCC